AACGUACGCUGGCGGCACGCCUAAUACAUGCAAGUCGAACGGAGUAGCAAUACUUAGUGGCAGACGGGUGAGUAACAUGUGGGUAUCUUCCCUUUGGUGAGGAAUAACACGAGGAAACUUGUGCUAAUACCUCAUAAGUCUUUACGGAGAAAGCUUUAUGCGCCAAUGGAUGAGCCCGCACUUGAUUAGUUUGUUGGUAGGGUAAUGGCCUACCAAGACUGUGAUCAAUAGCUGAUUUGAGAGGAUGAUCAGCCACAUUGGGACUGAGACACGGCCCAAACUCCUACGUUAGGCAGCAGUAGGGAAUCUUGCACAAUGGAGGAAACUCUGAUGCAGCGAUGCCGCGUGAGUGAAGAAGGCCCUUGGGUUGUAAAGCUCUUUCGUCGGGGAAGAAAAUGACUGUACCCGAAUAAGAAGGUCCGGCUAACUUCGUG
rnacentral:rRNA from 1 species